GAAAUGCGAUAAGUAAUGUGAAUUGCAGAAUUCAGUGAAUCAUCGAAUCUUUGAACGCACCUUGCGCCUUUUGGUAUUCCGAAAGGCAUGCCUGUUUGAGUGUUAUGAAAUUUCAAUCCCCCCGGGUUUUCAGAAGCCGAGGUGGACUUGGACAUGGGUGUCUGCCGUCUCGUACGGCUCGCCUUAAAUGACUCAGUCGGAUCUUCAGCAUCCGUGGCAGACGUAAUAAGUUACUUCUCGUCCCUUGCUGUGAGGACCGCUCAUAACCUGCCAUCGCCCACCACUUUUGACUCAGACCCCAAAUCAGGUAGGACUACCCGCUGAACUUAA
rnacentral:misc_RNA from 1 species